UACAGAAGGUUAAGAAGGGUUUUUUAACCCUUUACACAGUUAACUGAUUAUCGUGGAUUCCAUCCCUGUAGUGGCGAGGACAAAAGGUGCCAUAUUACUAUUAACCCUUUGCACUCGAGGCUUUGUUUUCUGGUAUCUAUCAGCAACGCGAGAUGCUUUCUUAGCAUUCUAUUGUCACGAAUGCUAAGCUUAGAUUGACUUCGAAAAUGAAAUCUCUAUUUUGAGAUUUGAAAAUCGGGUCACUUCUGCCUCAACGAGGCAGACAUUUUAUUGACACUUCGAAUUCCAAAGAAUUUUCCUUAACGAAUCUUUAAAAUUUGUUUUUUUUUUUGUUUUAAUAGCCUAAACACUCACACGACAUCAACUUCCACCCUCAAUUUCAAUAAAGGGUUGUGGGUCAGCUCCACUUAAAAUAAAACAAUUCUUCAAAUUCCACCCCCUAUUUCUCCCAAAAAAACCGCUUUCUGAGAACCCUCCAUCUCCAUCCCCUCCUUCAGAAACCCCCUCCCUCAGUAACCGAUUGCACGGUUCCUUUCAUCCCCCCGCUAACGACGCCCUCGCUAUCCCUCGAAACCCAAAUUCCUCUCGGAAUCUCUCUCAAAAAAAAAAGACGAGCGCCAGAAUCGGGCUAAAUAAAAAGAGACCAAAAAAAAAGCAACGAGACAGAGAGAAUGAAACGCACACAUCCCAGAGGGGGUUGCAUCGCUGCAACCCCCCCCGAGUCACCAGAAACACACGACCGCCGGGAUAGCCGGAGACGGUGUCUCGUGUACGUGCAAGCGAAGGGGGCGCAGCCGACACAGACCCUUUUCAACCCCCCUCACCCCCAUACCAACCCCUUGAAACGGAACAGCACAGAUAAAACCCGCGCGCGCGCGUACAUGCCACCGUAGGAACGUGCACACGCGAGGGGGGCAGGAUAACUCAACCCACCCCUUCCCCCUCCCCACACCCCCCGAGAUGCGGCGAGGGUGGAUUUCGCGGGGCAUGCGCCCUCCGCGCGCGACACAGAGCCUGUCGGCGGCUGGAAAAUCGCGGAGGUUCGAGGCUACGACCGAGGGUGACACCCUGCAGUCUGACGCGGGACUUCGACCCCCGCGCAUCGCCAGGGGGCGGAGUCGAUCACCGGCCGAGGCCGGGGGAGCCAGUCGCGGCCGCGCCACCACGGCCGUCGGGACGCGUUCGCGCGACGUACUCGACCGUCAAAGGUGCCCCUCGCCGAGGAGUGAUCGCGCGGGUCCGAAGCACGGCGAAGUACGAAAGUAGAUUAAACGGGAGUUCGGAGCGCGUCGGAGGGACAGUCUUCGUCGCGACGUCGAAAGAGGACGAGAAAGGGCGGAGGGACGUCGCAAGGGAUAGAAAAAGAGACGCCGGGUGAAUCCGUCUCGCAAAGUGGUUGCCGUGCUGGCAGUUCGCGAGUGUUUUCUUCGCAAGAAGGUGGAGGUGAAGCGGGGAAGCUCGACGCCGGGGGAAUAUAGCGAGCGCAGGGACGAGAGAGUCAGUCCAUGGAAGGAAAAAAAGAGACAAAGUUGAAUCAGAACCACCUCCACUAUCACCUCGGAAGAAUUACUACUGAUAACCUCAUCGAGCAGAGAAAUGACGGAGUACGAGUUCGACUGGAAAGGACUCGACGAAGGAGAUAGGAGAGCAGCUAGGUGAAU